rnacentral:rRNA from 1 species
UACGGAGGGGGGCUAGCGUUGUUCGGAAUUACUGGGCGUAAAGCGCACGUAGGCCGCUUUGUAAGUUAGAGGUGAAAGCCCGGGGCUCAACUCCGGAAUUGCCUUUAAGACUGCAUCGCUAGAAUUGUGGAGAGGUAAGUGGAAUUCCGAGUGUAGAGGUGAAAUUCGUAGAUAUUCGGAAGAACACCAGUGGCGAAGGCGACUUACUGGACACAUAUUGACGCUGAGGUGCGAAAGCGUGGGGAGCAAAUAGG